AUUGAACGCUGGCGGCAUGCCUUACACAUGCAAGUCGAACGGUAACGGGCCUUCGGGUGCCGACGAGUGGCGAACGGGUGAGUAAUAUAUCGGAACGUACCUUUCAGUGGGGGAUAACGUAGCGAAAGUUACGCUAAUACCGCAUAUUUUGUGCGCAGGAAAGCAGGGGACCUUCGGGCCUUGCGCUGCUUGAGCGGCCGAUAUCAGAUUAGCUAGUUGGUGAGGGAAAGGCUCACCAAGGCGACGAUCUGUAGCGGGUCUGAGAGGAUGAUGCGCCACACUGGAACUGAGACACGGUCCAGACUCCUACGGGAGGCAGCAGUGGGGAAUUUUGGACAAUGGGGGCAACCCUGAUCCAGCCAUGCCGCGUGAGUGAAGAAGGCCUUCGGGUUGUAAAGCUCUUUCGGCCGGGAAGAAAUCGUAUGGGCUAAUACCCUGUGCGGAUGACGGUACCGGCAUAAGAAGCACCGGCUAACUACGUGCCAGCCGCCGCGGUAAGAC
rnacentral:rRNA from 1 species